GCCGGGUACGGUGGCGCACACCUGUAAUCCCAGCAGCUAAGGGAGGCUGAGGCAGGAGAAUCACAAGUUCAAAGCCAGCCUCAGCAAAAGCUAGGUGCUAAUCAAAUCAAUGAGACCCUGUCUCUA
rnacentral:sRNA from 1 species